rnacentral:rRNA from 1 species
GAUCAUGGCUCAGGAUGAACACUGGCGGCGUGCUUAACACAUGCAAGUCGAACGAAGCACUCUAUUUGAUUUUCUUUCGGAAAUGAAGAUUUUGUGACUGAGUGGCGGACGGGUGAGUAACGCGUGGGUAACCUGCCUCAUACAGGGGGAUAACAGUUGGAAACGACUGCUAAUACCGCAUAAGCGCACAGGAUCGCAUGAUCCGGUGCGAAAAACUCCGGUGGUAUGGGAUGGACCCGCG